rnacentral:rRNA from 1 species
AUUGAACGCUGGCGGCAGGCUUAACACAUGCAAGUCGAGCGGGGACUUCGGUCCUAGCGGCGAACGGGUGAGGGAUGCUUGGGAAUCUGCCUGGUAGUGGGGGAUAACGUUUCGAAAGGAACGCUAAUACCGCAUACGUCCUACGGGAGAAAGGGGGGGAUCUUCGGACCUCUCGCUGUCAGAUGAGCCCAAGUCGGAUUAGCUAGUUGGUGAGGUAAAGGCUCACCAAGGCGACGAUCCGUAGCUGGUCUGAGAGGAUGAUCAGCCACACUGGAACUGAGACACGGUCCAGACUCCUACGGGAGGCAGCAGUGGGGAAUAUUGGACAAUGGGCGAAAGCCUGAUCCAGCCAUGCCGCGUGUGUGAAGAAGGCCUUCGGGUUGUAAAGCACUUUAAGCGAGGAGGAAUGGCUCUGGGUUAAUACCCUUGAGCAGUGGCGUUACUCGCAGAAUAAGCACCGGCUAACUCUGUGCCAGCCGCCGCUGUAACAC